rnacentral:rRNA from 1 species
UACGUAGGGGGCAAGCGUUAUCCGGAUUUACUGGGUGUAAAGGGAGCGUAGACGGCAGCGCAAGUCUGGAGUGAAAUGCCGGGCCCAACCCCGGAACGUGCUUUGGAAACUGUGCAGCUUGAGUGCGGGAGAGGUAAGUGGAAUUCCUAGUGUAGCGGGUGAAAUGCGUAGAUAUUAGGAGGAACACCAGUGGCGAAGGCGGCUUACCGUGGACCGUAACUGAACGUUGAGGCUCGAAAGCGUGGGGAGCAAACAGGG